rnacentral:rRNA from 1 species
CUAAGAUUAGCCAUGCAUGUCUAAGUACAUGCCGUAUUAAGGCGAAACCGCGAAUGGCUCAUUAAAUCAGUUAUGGUUCCUUGGAUCGUACCUUACUACUUGGAUAACUGUGGCAAUUCUAGAGCUAAUACAUGCAGCAGAGCUCCGACCUUCGGGGACGAGCGCUUUUAUUAGACCAAAACCAAUCGGACCUCGCGUCCGUACGAUGUGGUGACUCUGUAUAACUUUGGGCUGAUCGCACGGGCCCGUCCCGGCGACGUAUCUUUCAAGUGUCUGCCUUAUCAACUGUCGAUGGUAGGUUACUCGCCUACCAUGGUCGUAACGGGUGACGGGGAAUCAGGGUUCGAUUCCGGAGAGGGAGCCUGAGAAACGGCUACCACAUCCAAGGAAGGCAGCAGGCGCGCAAAUUACCCACUCCCAGGAACGGGGAGGUAGUGACGAAAAAUAACAAUACGGGACUCUUUUGAGACCCCGUAAUUGGAAUGAGUACACUCUAAAUCCUUUAACCAGGAUCCAUUGGAGGGCAAGUCUGGUGCCAGCAGCUGCGGUAAUUCCAGCUCCAAUAGCGUAUAUUAAAGUUGUUGCGGUUAAAAAGCUCGUAGUUGGAUCUCAGUUCCAGACGGGUGGUCCGCCUACCGGUGGUCACUGCCCGUUCUGAACAACCAGCCGGUUUCUCUUGAUGAUCUUCACCGGUUGUCUCGGGUGACCGGCAAGUUUACUUUGAAAAAAUUAGAGUGCUCAAAGCAGGCGUGACGCCUGAAUAAUGGUGCAUGGAAUAAUGGAAUAGGACCUUGGUUCUAUUUUGUUGGUUUUCGGAACACGAGGUAAUGAUUAAGAGGGACAGACGGGGGCAUUCGUAUUGCGACGCUAGAGGUGAAAUUCUUGGACCGUCGCAAGACGAACUACUGCGAAAGCAUUUGCCAAGAAUGUUUCCAUUAAUCAAGAACGAAAGUUAGAGGUUCGAAGGCGAUCAGAUACCGCCCUAGUUCUAACCAUAAACGAUGCCAGCCAGCGAUCCGGCUGUGUUCCUCAAAUGACACGCCGGGCAGCUUCCGGGAAACCAAAGCUUUUGGGUUCCGGGGGAAGUAUGGUUGCAAAGCUGAAACUUAAAGGAAUUGACGGAAGGGCACCACCAGGAAUGGAGCUUGCGGCUUAAUUUGACUCAACACKGGGAAACUUACCCGGCCCGGACACAGGAAGGAUUGACAGAUUAAGAGCUCUUUCUUGAUUCUGUGGGUGGUGGUGCAUGGCCGUUCUUAGUUGGUGGAGUGAUUUGUCUGGUUAAUUCCGAUAACGAACGAGACUCUAGCCUACUAAAUAGACGCUCCGAUCAUUUAUCGUCGGACGUUCUUCUUAGAGGGACAAGCGGCGUAGCCGCCAG